rnacentral:rRNA from 1 species
GACGAACGCUGGCGGCGUGCUUAACACAUGCAAGUCGAACGGAAAGGCCCUGCUUUUGUUGGGUGCUCGAGUGGCGAACGGGUGAGUAACACGUGAGUAACCUUCCCUUUACUUUGGGAUAACUUCAGGAAACUGGGGUUAAUACCGGAUAGGAGCUCCUGCUGCAUGGUGGGGGUUGGAAAGUUUCGGCGGUUGGGGAUGGACUCGCGGCUUAUCAGCUUGUUGGUGGGGUAGUGGCUUACCAAGGCUUUGACGGGUAGCCGGCCUGAGAGGGUGACCGGCCACAUUGGGACUGGGAUACGGCCCGGACUCCUACGGGAGGCAGCAGUGGGGAAUAUUGCACAAUGGGCGGAAGCCUGAUGCAGCAACGCCGCGUGCGGGAUAACGGCCUUCGGGUUGUAACCCGCUUUCGCAUGUGACGAGGCGUGAGUGACGGUAAUGGGUAAAGAAGCACCGGCUAACUACGUG